rnacentral:rRNA from 1 species
GAAUCUUGCGCAAUGGGCGAAAGCCUGACGCAGCAACGCCGCGUGGGGGAAGAAGGCCUUCGGGUUGUAAACCCCUUUCAGGAGGGAAGAAAAUGACGGUACCUCCAGAAGAAGCACCGGCCAACUACGUGCCAGCAGCCGCGGUAAUACGUAGGGUGCGAGCGUUAUCCGGAAUCAUUGGGCGUAAAGAGCUCGUAGGCGGUUCAACAAGUCGGCUGUGAAAGUCCGGGGCUCAACCCCGGAAUUGCAGUCGAUACUGUUGUGACUUGAGUCCGGUAGAGGAGAAUGGAAUUCCCGGUGUAGCGGUGGAAUGCGCAGAUAUCGGGAGGAACACCAGUAGCGAAGGCGGUUCUCUGGGCCAACACUGACACUGAGGCACGAAAGCGUGGGGAGCAAA